rnacentral:tRNA from 1 species
GUCAGGAUGGCCGAGCGGUCUAAGGCGCCAGACUCAAGGUUCAUACCUUCUCGGUUCAAUACCGAGUUAGGGCUUUCUGGUCCUCUCUGAGGGCGUGGGUUCGAAUCCCACUUCUGACA